rnacentral:rRNA from 1 species
GAUGAACGCUGGCGGCGUGCCUAAUACAUGCAAGUCGAGCGAAUGGAUUAAGAGCUUGCUCUUAUGAAGUUAGCGGCGGACGGGUGAGUAACACGUGGGUAACCUGCCCAUAAGACUGGGAUAACUCCGGGAAACCGGGGCUAAUACCGGAUAACAUUUUGAACCGCAUGGUUCGAAAUUGAAAGGCGGCUGCGCCUGUCACUUAUGGAUGGACCCGCGUCGCAUUAGCUAGUUGGUGAGGUAACGGCUCACCAAGGCAACGAUGCGUAGCCGACCUGAGAGGGUGAUCGGCCACACUGGGACUGAGACACGGCCCAGACUCCUACGGGAGGCAGCAGUAGGGAAUCUUCCGCAAUGGACGAAGUCUGACGGAGCAACGCCGCGUGAGUGAUGAAGGCUUUCGGGUCGUAAAACUCUGUUGUUAGGGAAGAACAAGUGCUAGUUGAAUAAGCUGGCACCUUGACGGUACCUAACCAGAAAGCCACGGCUAACUACGUGCCAGCAGCCGCAGUAA